rnacentral:rRNA from 1 species
UACGUAGGGCGCAAGCGUUUAUCCGGAAUUAUUGGGCGUAAAGAGCUCGUAGGCGGUUUGUCGCGUCUGCCGUGAAAGUCCGGGGCUCAACUCCGGAUCUGCGGUGGGUACGGGCAGACUAGAGUGAUGUAGGGGAGACUGGAAUUCCUGGUGUAGCGGUGAAAAUGCGCAGAUAUCAGAGGAACACCGAUGGCGAAGGCAGGUCUCUGGGCAUUAACUGACGCUGAGGAGCGAAAGCAUGGGGAGCGAACAGG